GACGAACGCUGGCGGCGUGCUUAACACAUGCAAGUCGAACGAUGAAGCUAGAGCUUGCUCUGGUGAAUUAGUGGCGAACGGGUGAGUAACACGUGAGUAACCUGCCCCGAACUCUGGGAUAACUGCUGGAAACGGUAGCUAAUACUGGAUACGACCUACGAAGGCAUCUUCUGCAGGUGGAAAGAAUUUCGGUUCGGGAUGGACUCGCGGCCUAUCAGCUUGUUGGUGAGGUAAUGGCUGACCAAGGCGACGACGGGUAGCCGGCCUGAGAGGGUGACCGGCCACACUGGGACUGAGACACGGCCCAGACUCCUACGGGAGGCAGCAGUGGGGAAUAUCGCACAAUGGGCGCAAGCCUGAUGCAGCAACGCCGCGUGAGGGAUGACGGCCUUCGGGUUGUAAACCUCUUUUAGUAGGGAAGAAGCGAAAGUGACGGUACCUGCAGAAAAAGCACCGGCUAACUACGUGCCAGCCGCCGCCGUAA
rnacentral:rRNA from 1 species